rnacentral:rRNA from 1 species
GACGAACGCUGGCGGCGUGCUUAACACAUGCAAGUCGAACGGCAAGGCACUGCUUUUGUGGGGUGCUCGAGUGGCGAACGGGUGCGUAACACGUGAGUAACCUGCUCUUGUCUUUGGGAUAACUUCAGGAAGCUGGGGCUACUAUAGGACCGGAGAUCAUGCUGCAUGGUGGGGGUUGGAUAGUCUCGGCGGUAGCGGAUGGACUGGCGGCUUAUCAGUUUGUUGGUGGGGUAGUGGCUUACCAAGUCUUUGACGGGUAGCCGGCCUGGGAGGGUGACCGGCCACAAUGGGACUACGGGACGGCCCAGACUGCAACGGGAGGCAACAGGGGGGAAUAUUACACAAUGAGCGGAAGCCGGAUGCAACGGCGUCGCGUGCGUGAUGACGGCCUGCUGGUUGUGAACCGCUGUCGCCUGAGACGAAGCGGGAGUGACGGUAAUGAAUAAAGAAGCACCGGCUAACUACGUG